CCCGCUGAACUUAAGCAUAUCAAUAAGCGGAGGAAAAGAAACUAACAGGGAUUGCCUUAGUAACUGCGAGUGAAGCGGGAACAGCUCAAAUUUGAAAUCUGACCUUUCGGGGGUCUGGUUGUGAUUUGUUCAGGAUGAUUGGGGUGAUCUGCUCGGUGGUGAUUUCUUGUAACGGAAUGUCGCAGAGGGUGAGAAUACCGUCUGGUACCUAACAUGGAGUCCCUGUGAAACUCCUUCCACUAGUCGAGAUGUUUGGUAAUGCAGCUUCCAAUGGGUGGUGAAUUUCAUCUGACGUUUAAUGUUGGAUAUAGACCGAUGACGCAUAAGUAGAGUGAUCCAUAGAUGAAAAGUACUUUGCAAUGAGAGUUGAACAGGUAUGUGACAUUGUUGAAUGGUAAGCGCUUGCCAUUAGAUAUGGGUAUCACGGGCCCCCCUUCCUUUUGGUCGGGAUAUUCUGUCUUGUCUAGGCGAACAUGAGUGCUCGUGUUCGCUGAAAGGCUCAAGGAAUGUAUAUGCGCUCUCUGAGUGUAGACCUAUUACCUCAAGUGUCAUGCGACCUCCGGGGACCGAGGAACGCGCUUCGGCUCGGAUGUUGGCAUAAUGGUGGUCAGCGACCCGUCUUGAAACACGG
rnacentral:rRNA from 1 species